rnacentral:sRNA from 1 species
ACAAUAGUAGCUCCCUCCAAGAUGGCGGCAGCGACGGCAGACCCGGGAGCUGGGAACCCGCAGGCUGGGGACUCCUCCGGCGGGGGCGCUGGGGGCGGGCUGCCGUCCCCUGGGGAGCAGGAGCUGAGCCGGCGCUUGCAGCGCCUGUAUCCUGCGGUCAACCAGCAAGAGACUCCGCUGCCGCGUUCCUGGAGCCCCAAGGACAAAUACAACUACAUUGGUCUCUCCCAGGGCAACCUCCGCGUCCACUACAAAGGUCAUGGCAAAAAUCACAAAGAUGCGGCCUCAGUGCGUGCCACCCACCCCAUACCUGCUGCCUGUGGCAUUUAUUACUUUGAAGUGAAGAUUGUCAGCAAAGGAAGAGAUGGUUACAUGGGAAUAGGACUCUCGGCUCAAGGCGUCAACAUGAACAGACUUCCUGGUUGGGACAAACAUUCCUAUGGUUACCAUGGUGAUGAUGGGCAUUCGUUCUGCUCCUCGGGGACUGGCCAGCCCUAUGGUCCCACAUUCACCACAGGAGACGUGAUCGGCUGCUGCGUCAACCUCAUCAAUGGCACCUGCUUCUACACCAAGAAUGGCCACAGCCUUGGUAUAGCCUUCACAGACCUCCCGGCCAACCUCUACCCCACCGUAGGCCUGCAGACACCUGGGGAGAUUGUGGACGCCAACUUUGGGCAGCAGCCCUUCCUGUUUGACAUUGAGGACUACAUGCGGGAGUGGCGUGCCAAGGUCCAGGGCACGGUCCACUGCUUCCCCAUCAGUGCCCGGCUUGGCGAGUGGCAGGCAGUGCUGCAGAACAUGGUCUCAUCUUACCUCGUGCAUCAUGGGUAUUGCGCCACAGCCACGGCUUUUGCUCGAAUGACUGAAACCCCAAUUCAGGAAGAACAGGCGUCCAUAAAGAACAGACAAAGUAAGGUUUAUUCUACUUUCCCCUUUCCCUUCCUCACCUGUCCCUAACUCUGCUCUCUGGCUCAUGUCAACCCUGGUUAACCUGUCAGGAGUCCAUUCAGCUCUGGUCCUCAUGACCAGCUUGCAGCCCGAGGCCAUGUUCCUGUCCCACCUUCAAGAUGGCACUGCCCAGAUGGACAGUUGGCAGGAUGGAGACGUCUCAGGGCAGCCUCCCUAAUGCACAUUCUGAAGGCUGGGCGCAGGCCAGGCCCUGGCAUGGCUGGUUCCAUUCCUCCAUUUCCUCCCUGCUUGUUUCCUUCCCCCUGAAUCCUGGAUUCCUCUCAGCCUCCUGUUCAUGGUCUUCCAGGAAGACUGUUUGCCUCUUACCAGACAAACUCUCUGCCUUUCUCACCAUUUACUCAGCCUUAGUAGUUCUGCUUAUUCCUAGCCAGAGAGGGGACUGAAGUGGUCAGAUAGGGCAAAGCCAGUGCUCAAUGGCUGCUGU